GACGAACGCUGGCGGCGUGCUUAACACAUGCAAGUCGAACGAAGAGCGAUGGAAGCUUGCUUCUAUCAAUCUUAGUGGCGAACGGGUGAGUAACGCGUAAUCAACCUGCCCUUCAGAGGGGGACAACAGUUGGAAACGACUGCUAAUACCGCAUACGAUCUAAUCUCGGCAUCGAGGAUAGAUGAAAGGUGGCCUCUACAUGUAAGCUAUCACUGAAGGAGGGGAUUGCGUCUGAUUAGCUAGUUGGAUGGGUAACGGCCCACCAAGGCGAUGAUCAGUAGCCGGUCUGAGAGGAUGAACGGCCACAUUUGGACUGAGACACGGCCCAGACUCCUACGGGAGGCAGCAGUGGGGAAUCUUCCGCAAUGGACGAAAGUCUGACGGAGCAACGCCGCGUGAGUGAUGACGGCCUUCGGGUUGUAAAGCUCUGUUAAUCGGGACAAAAGGCCUUCUUGCGAAUAGUGAGAAGGAUUGACGGUACCGGAAUAGAAAGCCACGGCUAACUACGUG
rnacentral:rRNA from 1 species